CCUACGGGUGGCUGCAGUGGGGAAUAUUGCACAAUGGGGGGAACCCUGAUGCAGCGACGCCGCGUGGGCGAGGAAGUACUUCGGUAUGUAAAGCCCUAUCAGCAGGGAAGAAAAUGACGGUACCUGACUAAGAAGCGCCGGCUAACUACGUGCCAGCAGCCGCGGUAAUACGUAGGGGGCAAGCGUUAUCCGGAUUUACUGGGUGUAAAGGGAGCGUAGGAGGGGUGCUAAGGCUGAUGGGGAAGGCCGGGGCUAAACCCCGGGACUGCAUUGGAAACUGGCAUGCUGGAGUGCCGGAGGGGCAAGCGGAAUUCCAAGUGUAGCGGUGAAAUGCGUAGAUAUUAGGAGGAACACUGGUGGCGAAGGCGGCUUGCUGGACGUUAACUGACGUUGAGGCUCGAAAGCGUGGGGAGCAAACAGGAUUAGAUACCCCUGUAGUC
rnacentral:rRNA from 1 species